UACGGAGGAUCCAAGCGUUAUCCGGAUUUAUUGGGUUUAAAGGGUGCGUAGGCGGCUUUUUAAGUCAGGGGUGAAAGACGGUAGCUCAACUAUCGCAGUGCCCUUGAUACUGAAGAGCUUGAAUGUACUUGAGGUAGGCGGAAUGUGACAAGUAGCGGUGAAAUGCAUAGAUAUGUCACAGAACACCAAUUGCUAAGGCAGCUUACUAAAGUAUGAUUGACGCUGAGGCACGAAAGCGUGGGGAUCAAACAGG
rnacentral:rRNA from 1 species